rnacentral:lncRNA from 1 species
UGGCGUUGAAGGACUAAAGCUUUGGAUUUUAUUGCUAUUGUUGUUGCUGUUGUUGCUCUUGCUUCGUCUAUGGUUGCUACUGCUGCUAUAAGAAUCCUCCGAGUCCGAUGCAGCCAUUGCAACCCUCUUCUUCUGGUAACUCCUUGAGGUUCCUACGAUCUGUGGCAUUGAAAUUGAACAAUCUAAAAUUAGUUAACAGUUAAAAACGGUUGAGGAUUGACAAAUGGGAACGCGUUAGAUAACAUCUUUCUGUUUUUCUUCUGUUUUUCUCUGACUUGUUUAGUUUCCGAGAAAGUUGAGUAAGAGGAAAAAGAAAUUCAAAGUCUUGUUAUUAAUGGUGACAAUCCACGAACCCACUCUAUGAAAAGCAAGUGGAAGAAAAAGAAGAAAAAUAAAAAGUUCAAUUCCACUCGUUUGAAUUUCAACCAAUCAAACACAUUGAUGACACGAAUUCCCAUUUGGAAUUUUCCUUCAUUUUCCCACCCAUUUUCUCAGCAACCAAACAGACGAAAAGGAAAGAGAAUUUCAAAUGGGGUUUUCUUCUAAAUU